UUGCGACGUCGUACAUUAGUGCGGGUCGUACACUGGAUGGCUACACCUUCUCUGGUGUAAUCGCAUCCGGUGUCUUUCGACACCACCAUGACUGGUUGUGAUAAGCCUUAACGUAACACAUGGCCUGGCAUGAUGCGGUUCGGGGUUUUGCCCAGCACAAUGCGAUUGGGGGGCAUGGCCUGGCCUGAUGUGAUUGGGGGGCAUGGCCUGGCAUGAUGCGGUUCGGGGGGCAUGGCCUGGCAUGAUGUGAUUGGGGGGCAUGGCCUGGCAUGAUGCGGUUCGGGGGCAUGGCCUGGCAUGAUGCGG
rnacentral:lncRNA from 1 species